rnacentral:tRNA from 1 species
UGGCUCAAUAGUUAAGCCUUAGGCUGCUAACCUAAAGGUUGGUGGUUCAAACCCACC